UAAUACGUAAGGGGCAAGCGUUGUCCGGAAUCACUGGGCGUAAAGGGCGCGUAGGCGGUUUGUUAAGUCGGGAGUGAAAGCGCUGGGCUCAACCCAGCAAUGGCUCUCGAGACUGGCAGGCUAGAGGAUCCUAGGGGAUGCUGGAAUUCCAGGUGUAGCGGUGAAAUGCGUAGAUAUCUGGGAGAACACCCGUGGCGAAGGCGGGCAUCUGGGGGAUUCCUGACGCUGAGGCGCGAAAGCUAGGGGAGCGAACGGGAUUAGAUACCCCGGUAGUCCUAGCCCUAAACUAUGAGUACUAGGUGUUGGGGGUCAAACCUCGGUGCCGGCGCUAACGCAUUAAGUACUCCGCCUGGGGACUACGGUCGCAAGACUA
rnacentral:rRNA from 1 species